rnacentral:rRNA from 1 species
AUUGAACGCUGGCGGCAGGCCUAACACAUGCAAGUCGAGCGGAUGAAGGGAGCUUGCUCCUGGAUUCAGCGGCGGACGGGUGAGUAAUGCCUAGGAAUCUGCCUGGUAGUGGGGGAUAACGUCCGGAAACGGGCGCUAAUACCGCACACGUCCUGAGGGAGAAAGUGGGGGUUCUUCGGACCCCACCCUUCCAGAUGAGCCUAGUACGGAUUAGCUAGUUGGCGGGGUAAAGGCCUACCAAGGCGACGAUCCGUAACUGGUCUGAGAGGAUGAUCAGUCACACUGGAACUGAGACACGGUCCAGACUCCUACGGGAGGCAGCAGUGGGGAAUAUUGGACAAUGGGCGAAAGCCUGAACCAGCCAUGCCGCGUGUGUGAAGAAGGUCUUCGGAUUGUAAAACACUUUAAGUUGGGAGGAAGGGCAGUAAGUUAAUACCUUGCUGUUUUGACGUUACCAACAGAAUAAGCACCGGCUAACUUCGUG